GAGUUUUUGGAACUGACUACUUAACUAAAGAUGGAACAAGGGUACAGGAUUAUAUCCAUGUACAUUUAGCUGACGGAUACGCUGCUGCAUUGAAAAAGCUCUCUGUCCCAAAAAUAGCUGCUGCUGUAUUUGGAGGGAAGAGUUUGGCAACCCAAAUUAUCUGAGAGAUUUGCAUAUGAGGCGCUAUUUUUUUCAUUAUCUUUGUAAUCCAGUCAUUCUUUUCACAAUAGAAUCAUAAGUAUGGAUACUAGAUACUACAAAGCAAUCCGUGAUCCGAUUGACCUACGAUGCAGGCUCACACCAUAAUCUACAAAUAACCAGAGUGGCCUUUGAAUUGUGUUCCGGAACUUACUGCUUCAUCAAACCAAUAAAUUUUAAAGUGCUCGGAGAGGGUAUAGAGGUUGCUUCUUGAGCGCCCAGUUGGAGAUUUAGAAGUUGUUGCCUGCUGAAACAUGGGAUCUUGGAUAGAGCUUGUAACUACUCUAUACAUAUCACCACUAUAUGCUAAAAUAAUGUUUUGGCCUCUUGCACUACCAUAAAAAAGUCACUUCAAAGCUGCAGCAAAAAUGAGAGCUAUGAAGCUUGAAAAUGGUAUUUACCUUAAUGUGGUCUCGGAUUUUACAAAAACUAUUCUUUCUCUUUUGUCAACAUACUUCAUCUUUUAGACAGUGCAGUGCACUUUUUUACUGAAAGGAGAAGCAUCAAAAUGAUCAUGAUCAUUCGUUUAUUCUUAUGUUAUCACUGACUUAGCUAUUGUUGCUUUCAACGAGGCUUGUAGGAUGAUUGGCUUUAAUUUAC
rnacentral:lncRNA from 1 species